GAGCUACAAAGAAAUUAAACAAAUCCUGGAACAAAGUACAAGAGAAGAGAAAAGCAAAGAGCCUGGAUUACCCUUAAGUCUGGAGAAAGACCAUAGGCUUUAGGUUUAUUUGUAUACUUGCUUUUGGUUUGCAUUUGUGUCAAAGGCUGGGUAUUUUGAGUGACCAACUAUAACUCCUUCUGCAGAAACAGAUGACCUCCCUGGUGCUUAGGAUCCAAUCCAUGUGGAAUGACUGUUAAUUUAGAGGCACAGUAUCAGCAAGGGGCAGAAAUGGAUGCCAUGGCUGCAGAGAAGGAAAAGAAGCUACAUGGAAAGGUUACCUACGUUGCUGAUUUGUAUUUAGCAUGAGGAGGAGACGAUGUUGCCAGAGCAACACUUAACCCUAAUGAAGAAUUGAAGGUACACCUCCAAUAUAUGUACACAUUUUUGCUGGCUCAGCUAUCAAGUCUGCAUAGACCUUUUUGGGGAUUUUCCCCCAUCCAACUGUGAAGAAUCAAAGGACUUUACUUCAUUAUAUUAUGGAGCGUGCCCUGAAAUACAACUUUUCCACCACUGUAUGAAAGAAAGUUGUCUCUGAUGAUGAUUUCCAAGCUUUGAAACAAGAUGCUUCAGUAGAAUUGAUGCGACAGUUGAGUGAACAAAUACAGUCAUUUACCAUCCAACUGAAAAAUGCUGAGAGAGAGAAAUGGAAAAGAGGGAACGUUAAAUGACAAGUUCAUUGAAUGUCGAAAAACUCAGCCACAGUGAGGAAAAAAUAGCCUUAGAGAAACAAAUUGAAGACGUGACUCUGGAUUUUGACGGUACCAAUAGAUAUCUAGAAGAGAAAACCCUUCAGAAUGCCUCCUUUCUUAUGCAAGCAGAAAAAAAUAAAAUUGACACAGCAAAGUUACAGGAUGAAAUUCAAAAGGAUGAAAAUAGGGAAUUAACUCAGUGGGUUGGAGAGAGACUGAACUCUUAACAAUCAAAAUGUAGAGGUUAAAUGUGAGAAGAAAGACCUUGCAGUUACCAGUGACUCCCCAUUCCCCCUGUUUUUACCUGGCACCAGCUAAAUCAGUGAUUUCUCAACCUUUUUAACCUCAAGGUCUCUCACCAUGUCUUUCAUGAAUUUAUAUUCUAGCUCAGAGAUUUUCAACUGGGAAAACUGAGAGGUUAUGGAGGGUGCCUUGAGGCAAAAACAGUUGUAAGCCACUAUAUUAAAACAUUUGGAUAUACAACUCAAAUGUGGUGGUUGGGGCAGUAUUUAUUUAAAAAAAUGCUAUACAAAAAUCGGGUAAGACUGGCAUUGGGAGA